GCUCAUCCCUCCCUGAUCUUCUCUUCGCAUGUCCCUCUCCAUCCUUCUUUCUUUUCUUCUCUAGCCAGAGCUUCCCAACAUCGGUGUAGUCCCUUCAUCAACCCAGAUGACAACCGGCACCCAACAGAGGUGGCAUGAGGUGAUUGGACCAGCGAGACCAUGAGGAAGGAAAAGGUACCGGCACAGCUACUUCGGGGGCCAUUUUCGGCCACUGCAACGCCAGCUUGGCUAGAUCUCGGCAACGCUCAACUUGGCAUGACGUGGGCUCCUUUUUCGGCCACUGGUGUCCCGCUUCAUGGCCGUUUCGGCCGGACAAGAGGAGAGAAAAAUAACGCGCUUUCCCUCCGACAACCCGGACGAUCGGAUCAGGAGAUCCUAACCAACGUCUCGAGGGCUUCGAUUUGGGAGCAACCUUGCGUCGAUAGGACACUGAACUUAGAAUGCCAAUAGCUUAAACUUAAACGACCAAUAUCAGACAAUUAGAGAAGAAUCUCGAUUAACUGUCUUUGGAUUCGUGAACAGCGACUCUCGGGUAUCUUGAUGUGAACUUGGAUUGGUGAUCACUUAACGGCAUCCAGAACUAGCUUUCCGGCUAAAUCAAAGAGCCCUGCGGAUCAUUCCGGAAAACAGUAAUCAUUAUAGUCAUUCCUAGCAUUUUGGGAUGCACUACACGUGGUAAGUCUUAACUCAACUUGUGUGGUUUGUUAAUCAAUUAAAUACUCAUGGCUUAAUGAGCAUAAUUAAAAUAAAUUAUUUAAGCUUGAGAAUUGGACUUUGAUUGGAUCAUAUGGCACUGUGAUAUUAUUAUGAGCCCAAGGUCAUGUUGUUGAGUUUUCUUUAUAGUUAUAUAAUGGUCAGUGUCUAACAAAGUUAGUGUGUCUAUUUAGGUGAUUAGAUUAGUUGUUUCACCAAUUCUAGCCAAAUCAGCAGAAAUGAAGUCAAUCAGUUACUUUAGUUAUUUUUAAAUAAAUAUUUAAAUUAUUUUAUUUUAUUUUAUGUACAAUCAUGGUAUUUUACAAUUUUUUUUUUUUUAAGAUGUUGGGAUCUAAGUUUGAGGAUGAAGUUGUUUAGAGCUAGGAAAGUAGACAUGGCUUCGCUUGUAUAAAGUAUUUCUAUUUGUAAUUCUGGAUGGAGUUGUGCUGAUUUACAAAGAGAUCUUAAGAGUUAAUAGGCAUAUGCGAGGACUUUAAAUGAAGUCUUAAUUUCUAUAGGACAUUUUUCCUUUUCUUUAAGUAUUUCCAAUGUUUACCUUGUUUUGCUUUUGUUUCCUCCCAUCAUCCUGAAAUGUGCUAUCGAAUAACAUGUGCAAGACAAUUUUGAAUGUACGACCUUGAAUAUUGAAAGGAAGGCAUAUAUUAAAUUCAAGUACAAAGCUAUAUAUUGCAAUUUAAUCAUCUUAUCGAAUUAGUGGGUGGAGGUUUGCUUCCUUUCUUGUUCAGGCCUUCUGUGCUUCUCCUGGGGCUUUCAUACUCUAGCUUUCCUAUAAUAUAAAAAUGUUGAUCAUUCUUUAUUUUCCUUCAGACCAUAACUUGUGAAAAGCAAUCAUAUUGAUGUAUGGAUGUUGAGUAAAACAAUAGUUGUUCAAAAGGGUAUGAUUGUUACUUUUGGCUGCUAUUGCUUUUGGGUUACUUGUCCAAGAUUAAUAUAGAAUUUGUUCUGUAAUUCGUGACAAUUUGUAGCUUCUUGUUAAGGCAUGCCAACUCAGUUUCUAGUGGACUACACUGACUUUUUAAGGGGAAAAUUUAUCAUUAAGGGAGAAAGGAAAGGAAAGGAGAAAAGAU
rnacentral:misc_RNA from 1 species